rnacentral:misc_RNA from 1 species
UUUCCGUAGGUGAACCUGCGGAAGGAUCAUUAUUGUAUAACCGAGGUGCGAGGGCUGUCGCUGACCCGAAAGGUCGUGCACGCCCGAGUGCCCUCACACACAUCCAUCUCACCCCUAUGUGCACCACCGCGUGGGUCCCCCUUUGGCUUGUUCGGAGGGGGGCUUACGUUUUCACACAAACUUUGUAUGCAGUCUAGAAUGUAUUUUUUGUUUUUGCGAUCACGCAAUCAAUACAACUUUCAACAACGGAUCUCUUGGCUCUC